UAGCCUUUAUUUGUUAUUUUUUUUAUUUAUUCUUAGAUUAGAUGUUUAUAUGUCACCGAAUUUCCGCGAGGGAAGAACCCAUCAUUUUAUCUAUUGUGGGGAUGCAUUGGAAAUACACGAGGAGGAGGAUUAACCUCAACGCCUGUGUAAGUCGUUGUGUCUCUUAAAUAAUGAUGAAAAAAUAAACUUAUUUAUCUUAGAAUAUUAGAUUGUAAGAUGCCACUUAAUUUCGGUAUGGGAAGAAUCCAUCAUUUUAUCUAUUGUGGGGAUGCAUUGAAAAUACACGAGGAGGAGGAGAAGGAUUAACCUCAACUCCCUGUGUAAGUCGCUGUGUCUCUUAAAUAAUGAUGAAAAAAAAACUUAUUUAUCUUAGAAUAUUAGAUUGUAAGAUGCCACUUAAUUUCGGUUAAGGGAAGAAUCCAUCAUUUUAUCUAUUGUGGGGAUGCAUUGGAAAUACACGAGGAGGAGGAGGAUUAACCUCAACUCCCUGUGUAAGUCAUUGCGUCUCUUAAAUAUUGAUCGUAUUAAUGAUGAAAAAAAAACUUGUCCAUCUUAGAAUAUUAGAUUGUAAGAUGCCACUGAAUUUCGGUAAGGGAAGAAUCCAUCAUUUUAUCUUUUGUGAGGAUGCAUUGGAAAUAUUCGAGGAGAAGGAUUAAAAUCAGUGUCUUCCUACAAAAUGUAAUGGUAUGAACAAGAGCUUAUUGGUCUGACUGCAAAAUGUAAAGGUGACCCUUAGAGUUAACUCCACUUUGCAAAAUUGCAGUUAUUCUUGCCAAGAGACACAAAUAAAAGCUUAUCUUAAAACUUUCUAUAGUUCUAUGGUCAUCACUCUUCAAUCGUAGCAAGUGUGAUUAGAUAUGGGUAAAAGGAUCUUGAACACAUGGGGGACAUUACAUUCCUCACUUUCUUCUACCGUUAUUUUUAUAUAUGCUUGGCUUAUUCUUAACGAGAUAUUUGGUGCUGCAUGGAUUCUUAACCAUUUUCACAGCUCCGGGGGACGCAAAUUGGAACACGCUUUGAAGCAUGGAUUGAAAAAUGGCCUCAGUGUUGUCACCUUGGGGUGGUUUGUGGAUAGUGUUAGAAAGAAUGGUG
rnacentral:lncRNA from 1 species